rnacentral:rRNA from 1 species
UACGGGGGGGUGCGAGCGUUGUCCGGAAUCACUGGGCGUAAAGGGCGCGUAGGCGGCGCACCAAGUCAGGCGUGAAAGCCCUGGGCUCAACCCGGGAAUUGCGCUUGAGACUGGUGUGCUUGAGUACGGGAGAGGAUAGUGGAAUUCCCAGUGUAGAGGUGAAAUUCGUAGAUAUUGGGAAGAACACCGGUGGCGAAGGCGGCUAUCUGGACCGUAACUGACGCUGAGGUGCGAAAGCGUGGGGAGCAAACAGG